rnacentral:rRNA from 1 species
UACGGGGGGGAGCAAGCGUUGUUCGGAUUUACUGGGCGUAAAGGGCGCGUAGGCGGUCAGCACAAGUCAGUUGUGAAAUCUCCGGGCUUAACUCGGAAAGGUCAACUGAUACUGUGCGACUAGAGUGCGGAAGGGGCAACUGGGAAUUCUCGGUGUAGCGGUGAAAUGCGUAGAUAUUCGCAAGAACACCAGUGGCGAAGGCGGCUCACUGGCCCGGUACUGACGCUGAGGUGCGAAAGCGUGGGGAGCAAACAGG